rnacentral:rRNA from 1 species
UACGGAGGGAGCUAGCGUGGUUCGGAAUUACUGGGCGUAAAGCGCACGUAGGCGGCUUUGUAAGUUAGAGGUGAAAGCCCGGGGCUCAACCCCGGAAUUGCCUUUAAGACUGCAUCGCUUGAAUCCGGGAGAGGUGAGUGGAAUUCCGAGUGUAGAGGUGAAAUUCGUAGAUAUUCGCAAGAACACCAGUGGCGAAGGCGGCUCACUGGCCCGAUACUGACGCUGAGGCACGAAAGCGUGGGGAGCAAACAGG